UACAGAGGGUGGGAGCGGUAAUCGGAAUUACUGGGCGUACAGCGCACUUAGGUGGCGACGUAAGUCGGGUGUGAAAGCCCCGGGCUCAACCUGGGAAUUGCAUUCGAGACUGCAUUGCUGGAGUACGGAAGAGGAGGGCGGAAUUCCCGGUGUAGCGGUGAAAUGCGUAGAUAUCGGGAGGAACAUCAGUGGCGAAGGCGGGCCUCGGGUCCAGUACUGACAAUCAAGUGCGAAAGCGUGGGGAGCAAACAGG
rnacentral:rRNA from 1 species